rnacentral:misc_RNA from 1 species
UGGCUGCCUGCAAUGGUUUGGUCCUUGCCAAGAUUACGAAAAAUGGAGGUCUAGUUGUUAUGAAUCCAAGUACACGGAACCACAUUCGAGUGCCUCUUGGUACGAUUGGCUUCAUGAAGGAGUGCUAUGCCUUCAUGUUCAGCCAUUUCACAGGUGCUUAUAAAGUGGUACACUUGUUCCGCGAUGACUCUAGAAACAUUCGCUGUGAGAUCCUGAACCUUACAACAAGAUCAUGGCAUGCAGUGGAUGGACCUAAAUCAGGAGAAUUUGGAUUGAUCACAACUCAUAGAUCUGUUUCAGCAAUUGGUGCUUUGUAUUGGCUUCCACAGAUUGAUGGCUGUAACCAUGUAGUCUCCUUGGGAUUUCAUGAUGAGAAA